AGCCCGUGAGGCUUCCUGUUCUCAGGCCUCAGUAUGUUCACAUUUGGGAAAGGGCGGAGCGAGAGGAGCUGAGUCCUUCUCGGUUUAAAAGCGUCUCUCCAACUUUUCCACUGAAGAGUGAAUCCAGAGCCUCUCUCCCACCAAGAUACUGCUGUCUUUCCAGACCUCCUAAUGCUAACUUUUUAAACAGACAUGAAUUGCUUGCUUUUUGAAUUUUGAGAAGAUACUCUGGAAAAGAUCUAGCAAGAUGGCAGAAGCACAUAUGGAAGACUAUGAAGGUAAAAUACCCGAGAAACAGUGCAAAGGCAAACAAGUCUAUCAAUGGCAGAGCUGUGGACCUGUGAAUGUGAGCAGUGUUUCUCACCUAAUCCUGGCAGGA
rnacentral:lncRNA from 1 species